rfam:Lonchura striata domestica isolate white83orange57 scaffold_125, whole genome shotgun sequence.
GAGGAGCGAGGUGUUCUCUCCUGAGCGCGAGGCGGGCGGGCGGUGCUGCCUGCGCAGGGGCCGCCCGCCAUCGAUGACCGUUCCCGGUCCCCGGAGCGGGGCUCGGGAGGGAGAGAGCACGGGCUGA